rnacentral:rRNA from 1 species
AACCUUUACACUGCACGACAGUGCGAUAGGGGGACUCCGAGUGCGAGGGCAUAUAGUCCUCGCUUUUCUGUACCGUAAGGUGGUACAGGAACAAGUGCUGGGCAAGACCGGUGCCAGCCGCCGCGGUAAUACCGGCAGCACAAGUGAUGGCCGAUCUUAUUGGGCCUAAAGCGUUCGUAGCCUGCCGGACAAGUUCGUUGGGAAAUCCACGCGCUCAACGCGUGGGCGUCCAGCGAAAACUGUCUGGCUUGGGGCCGGAAGACUCGAGGGGUACGUCCGGGGUAGGAGUGAAAUCCCGUAAUCCUGGACGGACCACCGAUGGCGAAAGCACCUUGAGAGGACGGACCCGACGGUGAGGGACGAAAGCCAGGGUCUCGAACCGGAUUAGAUACCCGGGUAGUCCUGGCCGUAAACGAUGUUCGCUAGGUGUGGCGCAGGCUACGAGCCUGCGCUGUGCCGUAGGGAAGCCGUGAAGCGAACCGCCUGGGAAGUACGUCUGCAAGGAUGAAACUUAA